rnacentral:tRNA from 1 species
GGCCUCGUGGCGGAGUGGCUACGCAGAGGACUGCAAAUCCUUGUACGGGGGUUCGAUUCCCUCCGAGGCCUCAA